rnacentral:rRNA from 1 species
CAGUCGCCGCGGGAACACGGGGGGCGCGAGCGUUACCCGGAUUUACUGGGCGUAAAGGGCGUGUAGGCGGCCUGGGGCGUCCCAUGUGAAAGGCCACGGCUCAACCGUGGAGGAGCGUGGGAUACGCUCAGGCUAGAGGGUGGGAGAGGGUGGUGGAAUUCCCGGAGUAGCGGUGAAAUGCGCAGAUACCGGGAGGAACGCCGAUGGCGAAGGCAGCCACCUGGUCCACUUCUGACGCUGAGGCGCGAAAGCGUGGGGAGCAAACCGGAUUAGAUACCCCAGUAGUCCCUGUCUCUUAUAC